UCUAGAGUCCCGACCGGUACCCGUCCUACCUGAAAAACCCUCAAAUUUGAUUCGAGGUGAACUCUCUCCAAUUCUGUAUAGGUGAAUACAUGUGAGUGGUGGAAAAAAGGCAAAAUGUCAGAUUGAAUUCUUGUCAAAAAUGACAGUUCCACAAUUUCGAUUUCAAAAACAAAACAUUCAAUUUGAGAUUCUACAAGUAAGUUUUUGUAAAUUAUUUUGUUUUAUCUGAACAUUUAACAGAAUUUAUUUCUUUUCAGAUCAAAAACCUUAACGGUUAAGUGCUACAAGUGCAUUUAAUUGAAAAAACAAUAGGCCAGGUACCAGAAGAAAAAAAUGAGACUUACUCUACUCGGAGCUUAAGUACGUAAGUACUUUCAAAAAAAAGUAUCUCGUAAACAAAAAAAUAUUUAAGUUGCUUUGUUGCAGCUAUUGAUUACUCCAAUAAUAUACUUUACUACCAAUUCAAGAAGAUGUAGUACAUAAUAAUAAAAAUCGACUUUAUAAGCAUCUCCUUCGUGUUUUCAUUUCGUGUGCUGCCGAUUAGAAACCAAUUUCAUUCAUUUACUUACGAGUAAUCUUAACACGGAUAUUUUAAGUUCUAUGGUUCUUUAGGAUUUUCAACGUCCUUUGCCCAUUCAUCAGCUGCCAAGAAGUAUGAUUCAAGCAACUAAAGCAACUAAAUCUUCACCUUCUAGAUAUAAAUCGAUGCUUGUAACGCCAAAUAUCUCGCUAAAGAACGGCAAGGACACUGCUGACCGAGUCAUCGGCUACUGCGGGCACUUUAGGACGACGCAGACCACCAGAUGGUGAAAUGAAAGUCGACAUUGAAGCAACCUGCUGGGAGGACACCUCCUAAAUGACGGGAAUUAAAAACCUUUGAAAGAAAAAAUAGAAGCCGAAUUCCUAAAUACGCAAUGCUUAUUGAAUCAAGAACUAACUGGAAUCACUUAGAAGAUCAUCAGGAACUGCCACAAUUUUUAAUCAACGGUUCGAAUUACCAGCAUAAGUUUUAUAAUUAUAAACCAAUGAACUUGCUACAAUUUAAUUGUGCGUCCAUUGACCAAAAGGUUUAUAAUGACAAGACUAAUUCAAACAACAAAUCGAAGCGGUAUUGAAACAAAUCCUGAAGUGAAGAUGAUUUUAGUCGACGACAUGCUUUAAAUCUCAUCCGUUAAUAAUAACGUGCAAAAGCGUUUGGACUAUGCAAAUGCGUAUGUUUCGAAGCCGGAUGAUUUCUGGAAGAACGUGAUAUUCCUUGACGAGAGUAAGUUCAACAUUUUUGGGUCGGAUGGAAGAAGGUUUGUGUGGCGGCAACCAAACACGGCCUUGGAGACAAGAAAUAUGCAGCCAACAGUGAAGCAUGGAGGCGGAAAUGUCAUGGUCUGGGGAGUGAUGGGGGCUAGCAGGGUGCGAAAUUUAGUAUUUGUUGAGUCGACGAUGGAUAAAAUGGUUUAUCUGCAAAUACUAAAAGACAACUUAAAAGCCAGCGCCAAUUAAAUGGGCUUAAGCGAGGACUUUGCAUUAGUGCAAGACAACGACCCUUAGCAUUCCUCAAGGGGGAUUAUUUGGAAAAGAAAAUCCGAGAAUCGGAAAUAAGAAACAAAAAUCAACUGAAAGCCGUUUUAAUUGAAGAAUGGAACAAAAUUCCACCGGAAGUGACUUCAAAACUAGUCCUGUCCAUGCAAAACCCUUUAAAGAAUGUUAUUAAGGCAAAAGGUUACCAUACUAGGUACUAAACGAAGCAAUUAACUAUUAAACUUUAAAGUGUAUGUGCAA